rnacentral:snoRNA from 1 species
AAGACUAUACUUUCAGGGAUCAUUUCUAUAGUUCCUUACUAGAGAAGUUUCUCUGAUCGUGUAGAGCACCCGAAAAAAAAAAAAAAAAU